UACGUAGGUGGCGAGCGUUGUCCGGAAUCAUUGGGCGUAAAGAGCGCGUAGGUGGCUUGUCAGGUCUGAUGUGAAAUCCUGGGGCUCAACUCCAGAACUGCAUCGGAAACCGGCUUGCUAGAGUCUGGGAGAGGAGAGUGGAAUUCCUGGUGUAGCGGUGAAAUGCGUAGAUAUCAGGAGGAACACCGGUAGCGAAGGCGGCUCUCUGGAACAGUACUGACGCUGAGGCGCGAAAGCUAGGGGAGCGAACAGG
rnacentral:rRNA from 1 species